rnacentral:lncRNA from 1 species
CGUGCACUGCAGCAGCACCGGGACUUGACAGCCCUACGGCUCGAUCAGCUUUCUGUUUUCAUUGCCUUACGAUGCCAUGAGUGGAACUAUUGUCAAAUCAGAGUUCACUCCCCAGCUUUUCAGUCUUUCCCCUAAUUCUUGCUCUAUCAGAGGUCGAGGACAACAGUAUAAUGAUUCAUAGGUUCUACUUCCUGGCAAGUAAUCAUUUUCCCACGGGCCCUUGUGAAUUGAUGAAUAUGAAGACACUAAGAAAGCAGAAAUAGAACUGAGAAGAAUGAAAUAACUGUCUCUACCUUUCUCGAAUUGUCUAAUAUGGAAAGAAUGAAAGACAGCUAAUAAGCAACUCUCUGCAAGAAGACAUAUGGCUUAGGUUCUGCUGAGCUAUUGGUGAUUUGAUUCCAUGCAUAUGUAUUCACUACUGAGAUGGGAUCUUGCUAUGUGGCCCAGGCUGGCCUCAAACUCCUG